rnacentral:rRNA from 1 species
AUUGAACGCUGGCGGCAGGCUUAACACAUGCAAGUCGAACGCGUGGCGGAGGGGUGAGUAAUGCUUGGGAAUCUCGCUUAGGGAGGGGGAUAACUACGGGAACCUGUAGCUAAUACCGCGUACCAUAGGGAUAGCCCAAGUGGUAUUAGGUAGUUGGUGAGGUAAAGGCUCACAAAGGAGCCGAUCUCUAGCUGGUCUGAGAGGAUGACCAGCCACACUGGGACUGAGACACGGCCCAGACUCCUACGUGAGGCAGCAGUGGAGAAUAUUGCGCAAUGGGGGCAACCUGACACAGCCAUGCCGCGUGAAUGAAGAAGGCCUUCGGGUUGUAAAGUUCUUUCGGUAGAGAGGCGUUAACUACAGAAGAAGCACCGGCUAACUCCGUGCCAGCAGCCGCGGUAAUUC